rnacentral:tRNA from 1 species
GGGCCCGUGGCCUAGAACGGUUAUGGCGUCUGACUGAUAAUCAGAAGGUCCUGAGUUCAAAUCUCAGCGAGCCCACCA